rnacentral:piRNA from 1 species
AUCACACUGUCACGUCCCCUGUA